rnacentral:lncRNA from 1 species
GGGAUGAAGAAUGGGCAGAGAAAAUCCACAGUGCAGGCAUGGGGAUUAAUGGCAUUUGGCACUUAGCUGCAGGGUUUGGGGGACAACAGGGAGUGGUGGGAUGGUGGUUAAGUAAGGGUGCAUGCCCCACCUGAAGCUCUACAGUGGCUCAGCUCCAACUGAGUGUUGCCAUGGGAAAAUCUGAUGGGGCCAGAUCUGAUCCUUCAGAGAAUGAGGAAUUCCAGGUUGUUAUGUGAAUUCUCACAAUUUGUAAAUGUCGGCUUGCCAUUCAGCUUUUUUGUUUGUUUGUUUUAAAUAAUAUCAUGUGGGUCAAACAAACUAUGUUAAUGGUAGCCAUCUGGCCUGGGGCUAGUAGCUUAUUGCCUCUGGCCAGUGGUGUGCUAACAAAAGUUUAACCAGCAGCUCUCCAACAAAAAAGGGAGGUGGGCUGCUCUGCCUAUGCAGUAGCCAUGCUUUUAUUCCUUUACUUUGUUAAUAAACUUGCUUUCACUUUA